GAUGAACGCUGGCGGCGUGCCUAAUACAUGCAAGUCGAGCGAACAGACGAGGAGCUUGCUCCUUUGACGUUAGCGGCGGACGGGUGAGUAACACGUGGGUAACCUACCUAUAAGACUGGGAUAACUUCGGGAAACCGGAGCUAAUACCGGAUAAUAUUUCGAACCGCAUGGUUCGAUAGUGAAAGAUGGCUUUUCUAUCACUUAUAGAUGGACCUGCGCCGUAUUAGCUAGUUGGUAAGGUAACGGCUUACCAAGGCAACGAUACGUAGCCGACCUGAGAGGGUGAUCGGCCACACUGGAACUGAGACACGGUCCAGACUCCUACGGGAGGCAGCAGUAGGGAAUCCUACGCAAUGGGCGAAAGCCUGACGGAGCAACGCCGCGUGAGUGAUGAAGGUCUUCGGAUCGUAAAACUCUGUUAUUAGGGAAGAACAAAAGUGUAAGUAACUGUGCACGUCUUGACGGUACCUAAUCAGAAAGCCACGGCUAACUACGUG
rnacentral:rRNA from 1 species